UACGUAGGGUGCAAGCGUUAAUCGGAAUUACUGGGCGUAAAGCGUGCGCAGGCGGUUUCGUAAGUCUGUCGUGAAAUCCCCGGGCUUAACCUGGGAAUGGCGAUGGAGACUGCGAGGCUAGAGUUUGGCAGAGGGGGGUAGAAUUCCACGUGUAGCAGUGAAAUGCGUAGAGAUGUGGAGGAACACCGAUGGCGAAGGCAGCCCCCUGGGCUAACACUGACGCUCAUGCACGAAAGCGUGGGGAGCAAACAGG
rnacentral:rRNA from 1 species